GUGUGGUGGGAGGGGCUUGGUGGGAGGUAACUGAAUCAUGGGGGUGGUUUCCACAUGCUGUUCUUGUGACAGUGAGUGAGUUCUCAUGAGAUCUGAAGGUUUUAUAAGGGGCUGUUCCCGCUUUUGCUCAGCCCUUCUCCUUCCUGCCAUCAUGUGAGGAAGGACGUGUUUGCUUCCCCUUCUGCAGUGAUUGUAAGUCUCCUGAGGCCUCCCCAGCCAUGCAGAACUGUGAGUCAUUUAAACUUCUUUCCUUUGUAAAUUACCCAGUCUCGGGCAGUUCUUUAUACUAAUGUGAGAACGGACUAAUACACCCUUUACUCCCAGAGUUAGUUUCAAAAACUACAUGAUUGCUGUUUCGCAUUUCAUCCCAGUUCUCUAAAAUUAUCCUAGCCUACGUGCAGGAAGGGGUAAAAGCCCCUUAAAGAAAAAUGAAGUGAGUGACGUUAGUUUCUUGCUGUUUCACUGUUACACAAUGAUACGAGGUAUGAAAGGGAGGAAUGAGGAUGGUUUUGUUAUGUUAAGGUGCUCACACUACCUGUGAAGUGUUACAGUGUUAUUUGAAAGAGACACAGAGAGAAGAUGCCAUCCACAUGCCAAGGAGGGAGACCUGGAGCAGCUCCUCCCUCACAGCCCUCAAGAGGAACCUGCCCUGCAGACACCUUGAUUUCCGACGUGGCCUCCAGCCCUGGAGAAAAGAAGGCAACGAUUGCCAGCCAGCCAGCCAUCCCUGGAGACUUCUUACAGAUCUUUUCCCAGCAGAAGUGGCUAAGUGCCUGAAGGGAGGAUGACCACAGCCACGUGAGGCAGAGGACAGAUGGAUGAGGAAGACAGAAGGUCCUGAGACCAGCCCAGUGCCUGCCCGGCCCCUCACAGACACUCUGUAAAUAUUUGUGGGAAUCAGCACAAGUGAUUUUCUGGAAGCCACUAACCAGGAGUGAGCAGAGCCAGGCAAAGAAGCGUGGACACCCUCAGAGGCUCUGUCUGACAGUGCAAGGGGCUGAUAUUUAUCAGGAAAUGUGACAGAUGUGCUGUGUGAACCAGGAAGACCUGUCAGUGCCCUCGGCCGUAAUUAGCCGCUACUUCACUCUCCCAGGGAGGCCACUGAGGACUCUGGGCUCUGCCUUUGCAGUGGGAUGUCCGUCCACCCCUGCUCUUCUCCCAGGAGGAGCAGCUGCCCGUGACCUUGGACUUCAGCAGGAGAAGAUGAUCCUCUGGAAUGUGAUUAUCUUCAUCUUGAAGAGUACUAAUUAUGGUUGCUUUCCUUUUUUUUUUUUUUUUUUUGAGACAAAGUCUUGCUCUGUCGCCCAGGCUGGAGUGCAGUGGUGCCAUAUCAGCUCACUGCAGCCUCCGCUUCCCAGGUUCAAGCAAUUAUCAUGCCUCAGCCUCCUGAGUAGCUGGGAUUACAGGUACAUGCCACUACACCCAGCUAAUUUUUGUAUUUUUAGUAGAGUCGGGGUUUCACCAUGUUGGUCAGUCUGGUCUUGAACUCCUGACCUCAAGUGAUUUGCCCGCCUCGGCCUCCCAAAGUGCUGGGAUUACAGGCGUGAGCCACUGUGCCCGGCCAAUUAUUGUCACUUUUCAAACCCAGGGACACUCAGCUCUGGGGAAGGCACAGCCCCUUGCAUGUCCUGGGAGUUUCCUGUGACCUGGUAGGAUGAGGAACAGUUUCUUGGGGCUGAAGUGGGGAUGCUAUGCCCUCAUUAAGGAUGCUCUGUACAGUGAGACCCGUGUUUUCCCUGGUGGCAGUGACAGCCACCUGAGCUCUGCACAUUCCCUAGGGCCAGGUCACUAAGGUCGUGUGUGGCCACUCUAGACUGGCCAUGCUGCGGCUCCUCACCCAACACAUGCACAUGCAUGUGUGCACACACCUACUCCCAUUCCAUAAGCUCGGUGCAGCAGAUGUGGCCACUUCAAUUACACAGCAGUGCAGUGGGCUCUGUGGCUCAGUAUCCCCCGGGGAGCAGGAGGCCCCGCGGUUUGCAGUGAGGUGUGGAGAAUGGAGCGGGCUCGGUGGUGUUAAUGAC
rnacentral:lncRNA from 1 species